AUAUUACUCCCUCCGUUCGGAAUUACUUGUCUCGGAAAUGGAUGUAUCUAGAACUAAAAUACGUCUAGAUACAUCCAUUUCUGCGACAAGUAAUUCCGAACGGAGGGAGUAGAAG
rnacentral:pre_miRNA from 1 species